AACGUGCCUUCCCUUCCCUUGGUUCCUCAUCUAGGCAAAGCUUCACACUGUCUCCACCCAGACAGGUGGAAGGCCAGUCCACUCAUCCUGUUUAUAGAAGAAGGGUGGGGAGAGCGAAAGGACAAGUUCCAGCCUCUCACAGGGCUUCUCACCAACCUGCCCUGUCUGAGCAGUUACUCUCCGAGCUCAGUCGCCCAUCCACUCUUCCUAAAGUCAGCCGGUCAGUGCUCUACACAGUUGGUCCUAAGAAAGAAACAAGUAUUCAAAGCUGGAUGUUCAAAGCACAUUGCCGACAGUCCUCCACUUAACGAAAGAAUUAAUUAUGGAACUUCUUUGAAGAGACAACUUUCCUAGGGCGUAUAAGGUACAAUUUUUACUUAGCAUCAAUGUAUUCACAAUUUUGGGGGGUAUAAACCUAAAAAGGCGCGUAUGUUUGGCUAUAAAUGUAUUUGUGUUAUUUUUCAAUUCUCAGUAUAAAAACUUGAUUUAGGCAGGGCUGGUAUCAUUAUUUCUACCUUUCAGGUGAGGAAAGGGAGACUCAGAGAGAUUCUAAGCAAAAAUGGGCGUUUCCACUGCUCCACAAUGACCCGCUGAGGGUCGUAUUUCUCAGCCUGCCCAAAUCCCACUGUUAUACCUGCGCUGUUUACAGAAAGUAGAGUAGAGGGUACCAGGGACUGGGGAGAGGGUGGGGAAGAUAUUAUUUAAUUGGUGCAGAGUCUCUAUUCUGGAUGAUGAAAAUGUUCUGGAAAAGGAUAGUGGUGAUGGUUGCAUGACAUUAUGAAUGUCCUUAGUAUCUGCUGAAUGUACACUUAAAAUGGUUAAAAGGGUACAUUGUAUAUUAAUUUUUUAACAUAGAAAAAGAAUUACCUAGCUGAAAUUCUGCAUCGCAGCAGGAUUAUGUUAGCUCACUUCCCCUCUGCCCUUUCCUUCCACCUCCCACUUCCCCCAAAUAAUAAAGAGAACUGAUCAAGAGAAAAUAAUUAAAAUUGAAGUAACACCGAGAAAUCACUUCUAACCCAGGAGAUUGGCAAAAAAUAAAGUAAGAUAAUACUCUUUGCUAGUAAAGACGCAGAAAAAGGACACUCUCGCACACUGUUGUUGAAAAAAUAAACUGGGCAGACUGGAAAACAAUCUAGCAAUAUACUAUAAACAUGUUUUUUAAAAUUAAAAGUACACAUACGUGGUAUUGGAGACAGGGAAAAUACACAGAUCAAUUGAAGAGAAUAGAGUUUGAGGAGAGGGAUAUUUCCUAGACUAAAACCAGGGGUGGGGUGUGGUCUCUGGGUCACAAGAUCAAUUGGAACUUGCAACCUGCUCACUAAUGGCACCCCAUAAUGAGAGACCCUCAGAAGGAAUAGUGGUUUGGGGUAUCCUGGGCUCUGGGAUCACCAUAGAAGCCCAUGACCCAAAGGUGAUUAGCAAGAUGAAAAACCUGCAGAGACCACACCUGGGGUAGGGGCUUCUCCCCUGUGAUCAAUAUGGACCCAUGGCAAGGGGGCCUAGACACUUUACCCAAUCCAGUGGCGGAUAAGGUAGUGACCAGAGAAAGAUUUCGGUUGAAUUUCCUGACAUCCCAGUAGGACGGGGAUGUGAAGUCAACAUUAAGUUGUGUUUGGUCAGGGUUCCCCAGAAAAACAUAACCAGUAGGAGACAGAUAGAUAGAUAAAUAGAUAGAUAGAUAAGUAGAUAAAGAUUUAUUAUAGGAAUUAGCUCACACAAUUGUGGAGGCCAAGAAGUCCCGCGAUUUGCCGUCUGUAAGCUGGAGAAAUAAGAAAGCUGGUUGUGCAAUUCACUUCAGAUAUGAAGCCCAGAGAACCAGGAGUGUCUAUUCAAGCAGAGAGAAUGAACUCAUGUUUCCUCCACCUUUCCGUUCUAUUCAAGCCCUCAGUGGAUUGGAUGGUGCCCCGCAAAUUGGCGAGGGGCAUCAUCUUUAUUUGACCUAUUGAUUCAAAUGCUAAUCUCUUCCAGCACCACCUCAGACACACCCAGAAAUAAUAUGUUACCAGCUCUCUGAGCGUCCCUUAGCCCAGUCAAGUUGGCAUAUAUAAUUCACCGUCACAAACAGUUUUGCAGAAAGUAAAGAACUAUGCUAUUACCUGCAUAUGUGAGUUGGCGAACUGAGAGUCUUCCCAGUUAUAUGAGAUUUAGAGGUAGGUAUUAUGGAUGAGGUGGGGUUCAAUCUCACCUUGAGAACACCAGGUAGGGGUUGGGGUGAGCACAGGUGUGACAGCCCAGGUGAGCAGGGAGUGGGCGGCAGACAGUGAAGAAACGGGCUUGGCUGGAGUAUAUGGUCCCAAUUAGAGAGUGGAAAGUGUCUGUCCUCCUCAUUAUCAAAACACAUCUGUCACUGAACACCUCCACGUACAAGGUUCCGGGCUGUAUGCUGUGAGGUAUGGAAAGGUGAGAAAUGCAGGGUCAGCGCUUUCUGUGAGCUCAUAAGUUAGCUUGAUAAUGUGCGUCCACGAAGAAAAACACUCAGAAGGUGGAGUGCCCGAUUCCUGACAUACAUCAUCCGUGCACUUGUUUCCUCAGCUAAAUCUUACUGUGUUUAAUCCUCACACCGGGCUAAGUAUUAGGGAUGGAGAGAUGAACGAUACAGUGCACCAUCCCUGGGAAAUGCAUAGAAAUCACCUCCGGCUGAGGAAGGUCUCCCAGAGCUGGACCUGGGUGGGCUGGUAGGAUGUGAUAGGUGUCUGAGGAGGAAGCGGGUACACCUGUGGCAAGAUCGGCACCUGGGACUGAUGGCCUGUGGAACACGCAGCCCAACACGCAGCCAAAGGAUUGGGACAGGCUUCGCCUUUGAGGAUGCCGACAAGCAAAUCUCCUUGUGAGAAGAUCAUUGUCUCCACGAACCCUGACGUCACAAACCCAUUGCAGCCUGUCCUCCCUCUUCUCACGGACAGUUGUGUCCAGCUGAAAGCAAGCACCAACCCUCAACUUGAAGCUGUGUGCCUAAGUUUUCACCAACACCAAGGGAUGCAAUAAGUGUGUGCUGAUUUGAUGGUAAAGGGGUCAUAGAAAGACCAACCCCAUGGGGUUUUAGCAUAUGGAAGUGAAGAGGGCUUUUCUAUCCCUUUCCUUUAGGGUGGUGGGGAUGGAGGCAGAGGUGAUGGGAUUGAUGGGGAAGGAGAGAAGCUAUGGAUUUGCUACAGCAGAACCUCUGGGGCAUUAGUAAUCAUGUAUUAAUAUUUCCUAAAGCUCCCCAGAUGAAGAAAAAAUUGAGAAGCAACUGCCCCAAGGAGAGAGGUAUGAAGAGGAGUCUUCUUUCAGAUUGAAUCGUGUGCCCAGAAUAAAUCAGUCCACCACUGCUGUAGAAUCCACCUGCUGACGCUCACUGUGACCCAGAUUCUUGUCUCAUUCCAUCAGCCCCGUUCCACGUCUCCCCCGCCCCCGCCCCCAGCCUUAUUCCAGUUCAGCCCCUUUAAUAUCCCUGCUACCCAUCGACUGCCAUUCCCUUAGGACUUCCUUCCAGCCCCAGUUAAGAAAAACAUAUGAUCACCGGCUUCCAGACCCCACCGCUUCCAUUCUGCAGACUCCAGUACCCUCUCCCAGACUGGAAGGAGUGAGAAGAGUUUGGGGUCUUUCUCCCCCCCCCCAAGCGAGUGAGCAUCCAGAUAUGGGCAAAAUCAGAGCGUGCUCAGUACGUGACCUCCGGGUGUUGGGAUGAACAUGCAGGCCAGGCUGCAGCCCUGCCAGGGUGCCCGGCGCUUGGAAUCUUUCAAUGCAAAUUUCCCUUGUGGCAGCCCUGGCCUCUUCUGCAGGGGUGGCAGCCGCCCUGGGAGGAAAGAUGAGAUUUAAAUUGGUAAUCAAGCACUGUACCAAACCGGACUUUGACCUUGUUCAGAAUUCCAUUGGCCCGUGUUCCCUGACCCACCACCGCCCUUUCUGCCCAAUUGUUCCCUUGAGUAGCUGCCUGCUAUCUAUGGCAAUAAGGCAGGCUGCCACCAGCUGCUGCUUCCCUGGCUGCCCUCCACCUGGCUGGAUCGGAAGGCCUUGGAAAUCAGAGAGCUUUGCCUUUCCAGCCACUUUGCUACCUCUGCUCCUGGAGCGAGACAAGAAUGGUCUGGAUGAGGUCUCUGGUCCUGGCUGUGCCUGCUGGUAGGGCCUGGGAGAGGUGAAGACAGCCCCGACAAACUUCUUUUAUGCACUCUUGGUUACCAAAGCGAUUCCCAGACGAGGCCUGGAAUGGCCAGUGUGGGCCCACACGCCUGCUAUGUCCACGGAAGCAGCAUGGAUCCAGCACCCAUUCUCUCCAGCUCCUUCCACUGCCCCAGAACACCCCUGCUUGCUGUAAAACACCACGUUUUUGCUCAUUUCUUCUUCCGAGAAGGCCUUCCACAUUCUCUUCUACAUGUCUAAACUCUGCCCUUCCUUCCAUGGCCUGGGGGACCACUCUCCCCCGUAGAGUGCCUACUCACUCCCCUGCAACCCUACCAUGCUUUUUCUCUGACCUCCUCAAUUCAUGACUCAAACCAAAUAUCUGGGGCAUUUAGUCACAUGCUGAUUUGCCAUGUUGUCUCAUUGUUUCAAGUGUUAUCUCCCCAACAAGAUGGUAGGCUCCCAGGGACUAUGCAUUACCUAGAAUUGGCACUUAGUAGGUCUACUGGGAAUCAGUGAAUGUGAAAGGACAAAUGAAUGAAUAUAGACGUUGCUUUAUUCAGAGCUCUGUUUUCUUUACACGCCUAGAAUUCUUCCCAACAAGAGAGCCCUUCUUUCCAUUGGCUGUCGUCACAACGAAGCUGCUGGUGGAAACUUUGCUUCCCAUGCCUCCCAGAGCACAGGGGAACCAGGAAUGUUUCACCAGGAGGAGUCAGUUGCCAGAACAGUUGGAUUUCCACCAGUGUGCAGGGCACUAGUGGCUGCUGGGAGCAGAUGUCUGCCCUCUUUGAUCUAACUGGGAUGCUAGAAUGUGCCCACACGAAGCUUUGUUUCCGUUAAUGCACACAGUAUGUAAGGGCUAAGAAUGGCCGGGUGCAGAAAGCACCCAGUCUAGGCUGUCCUAAUCAGAGAGCAUGUGAAGGAGGCAGAAAAUAGGGCUGUUGAAUGGAGGCAGCAGGGAGACUGGGUGUCCAAGGGAGGCAUGAAAGAGUGCCCCUACUCCUUCUUCCCCAGCCAGACUCCACCUGUCCAUGUCUGCUCCCCCACCCAGGUAAGAAAGAGCCAAAGAUGGGGCGAGGACAAGGGACAAGAUUGGGGGUGGGGUGGUGGAUGGAUAGUUAACUCAGGGGGUUCAUCUGAGAGGAAACGCCUUGGGAAUGCAAGGCAGCUCUCACACAUGCCCUAUCCAUCCGAAGGGGAGGCAUAGAGGAGGCUCAAAAAGCCAGGAGGGGCUUCCGUGGUGGCGCAGUGGUUGAGAGUCCGCCUGCCGAUGCAGGGGACACAGGUUCGUGCCCUGGUCCGGGAGGAUCCCACAUGCCGCGGAGCAGCUGGGCCCGUGAGCCAUGGCCGCUAAGCCUGCGCGUCCGGAGCCUGUGCUCCGCAACGGGAGAGGCUACAGCAGUGAGAGGCCCGCGUACCGCAAAAAAAAACAAAACCAAAAAAGCCAGGCGAAGACCAGACAGGCAAGAAAGAAGAUCUAGAAAGACAGGUGAAGUGUGAGCUGCCACAUCUUUGUACACAGAGGGCCCAAGGUUGGGGCAGGGGGUCGUUGAUGAGCUCUGUCCAUGGGGCUUCCACCUAUUGUCUCAGAAGUAAGUCAGGAGCAGGGGGCCAAGCACGGAGCAGCCUAUGUGUGGCCCCUGGGUGCCAUUGCGCUCCUGCGUCCUUCGCUGUGGUUAGGGCAGAGAGACCCUCUGACAGAAAGACAUAGGGUGCUUGUCUUCUGGGCAGAGGAGAGGCUCAGAGACAAGAAUAUGGGUGAAGGGGAGGUGGCAGCAUCCAACCUACAGGCAAGCGGACCGAGUGUGGUGGGGUGAGCCUGGGUGUCGAGGAGUCAUUCUGGGGCUCCCCAAGGAGCAGAAAUGCCCACAUGAGGUUUCCUAGCAGCGCCCUCCCCCAGGCCCUUCCCCUCUGGCCUCGGGCCUCUUGCCCACCGGUGCAUGCAGUCCCAUCACCGAUGACAGUGAGCAGAGUUUGCCAAUUCCAUUACUUUUAUUACUCAUGCCUUUCAUUACUCAUGCCUUUCCCAGGGAAAGGAACAGACUCGAAGGAGAAGGCAGUUGCCAUGGACUGGAACUUGCUGACGCACCUCUCAGCUAACUCGACCCCUUUCUUUCAAGAGGAAUUUUACACAGCCCAUUUUAUGGGUACCUACUGACAUCAAAACUGUUAAGUCAGAGGGCAGGCAUCGAGGUCAGAGAACGCCCCACCCCUGGGGCGUAUUUCCUCCUUCUGCUCCACAAUGUCCCCCAGGAUCACGGGAGGAUGGGCAGGCAAAAAAGAAGAAGAUUUCAUACGCCCAGGUGUGUGUGCAGGGGAACUUUCUCUCCCACUCUAGCCAGAGACAUAGAAUUUAAUAAAUCCUCAGAACGGGGGAGGCAGGGGUGUGUGAGGAUGUCUUUCAUUGUGGGGAGGGUGGGUCAAACACCUAGAGCGUCUGCUAACCGCAUGCUCUUGAGAGCACGCCCACACACAUGGUGUACCGCUGAGGCCCAGAAACAGGGAAGAGAAAGGGGGCCAAUCUGGAAGCCAGGGCUCCAUCCCCAGUCACUCCACGCUGGUUAGGACUGUGGUUCCCAUACCUGGAUGGAUGGCAGAAUCACCUGGCCAGCUCAGCAAACGUGCAGAUUCUUGGGGUCCCACCGCAGUCCCACCAAGUCAGAGCCACGUGGGGUGGGGAAAUUGGGGUAUGCGUGUGUUCAACAAGCUCCCCUGGGAUUCUCAUGCCACAUUCCCUUUCCUGAGUUUAGAGUUGCCGGAUCCACGUGGGGUUCCUUGAAAAUUGAUGCUACUCUUGUUCAAGGCCACAGGCAGACCUCCAAAGACAGCCCCGGAGCCAGCACAUGGAAUGGGAGAGCCAGAUCUACUCCCAGAGAAGCACCCUGCAGCCUGAGUAUCCUCACGGCACACUCCGCCACUGCAGGUGAUCACCUGGGAUGCAUUGAUUUCCGUUCUCCCAUAGGACCUCUUUUGUAGCACUUUGUUUGUUUUCACAAAAUCAACUAUUACAGAUAUUUGAUGAUGGACUUGAAUGCUAUUCUUCUCCCUGUUUAACAUGUUUGCCAACCAACCUUACCUGCCAAAGGUAAUGUGGAAACCCAUCACCCACUGGCUUGUUCAAGAUGAGCCCAGGGUCACUAAACCAUUAUCCUAUUUUCUUUGGAGCUUCUGUUUCCCUGAACAACAGGCUGCAAAGUGAUUUGGAAAAUCAAGGUUAGACCCAUACCCUGGGCAAAAUGCCUGAGAAGAAAAGACAGUUUCUUAUCUUUUUUUUUUCUACUUUUUUUUCCAACCUAAGGUAUAUAUAAGGUCACAGAAAAGAGAGUGUUGAUUCCACGUGGCUGGCGCUGAACCCUUGCAAUUUACCAAUGACGUCUCACUCACUCAUGAGUUUUCCUGGGUCUGAGUCACACACAGGGAGGCUUUUAAGCAGAGAAAAGAAAAUUCCUGAAAUGAAUGAGUUACAUUCUGGCCCGGGAGGCAAUACCACAGAAGCACUCGCUCUCACCCACACAAUCAGGCCUGAGAGCUGAUGGAAAUUUGUGGGAAAGGUUGUGAAAUUGGGGAUUACAGAAACAAAGUCUAAGGCAGUGGAAGGAAUUCUACUGGCAGACUGCCUUUGAACUUGAACUCUUCCUUGGGUUGCCAGCCUGCUGGCCUGUCCUGCAGAUUUUGGACUCCCCCGUCUCUGCGAUCACACGAGCCAACUCCUUAAAAUAAAUCCCUCUUUAUAUGCGCACAUCCUAUUGACAAAUGCACAGUCCAAGAGACAAAAACACCCACACACGCCCACAACCAGCCCAGCAGGGAGAUCUUUAGUCCCUACGAUGGGCCAGACUGUUACAAUAAGAAAAUCAACACUGACCUAGACUGCAGUUUCUACGUGGCUUCUGUCAGGAACACAAAGGUGUAUAUGGAACAGAGUCCCUGUCCUCCAGUGACUUUCCAACUCGUCACCAAGUUAAAGAACCUCAACACUGAAAGGGGCCCCAGUGAACCUCACCUAGUCCAACCCCUCGGUUUUACGGACGGGGAAACUGAGGUUCUGAGAGGGGACAGGACCUGGUCCAGGCAGCACAGCCUGAUGGUGGAAACGUCGGGACGAGAUCCCAAGGAAAACAUUCCAGACAAGAAGAGCAUGAGUAUGAGUGAUUGUGUGUGUGUGUGACACACACACUGAAGAAGGUGGGAAGGUGAACAGCUGGAGUAAUUAUGGGCUGCAGACAAGGUGGAAAUGGGGGAAGGUGACCGUGGAGAGUGUCAGACACCUGAGUGUGAAGUUUAGAAUGGGUCCACCAGAUUGGAGAAGCUUCCAAACACUUUGGGUGUGGGGAGCAACACGAUGAAAGAGUUCUUACAAGAGUGCUGCUGUUACAGGAAUAUUGUAAAAGAGAAAAAUGUUGAAGAAAACCUUCUUUUUUUUUUUUUUUGCCGCACCACACAUCUUGGGGGAUCUUAUUUCUCUGACCAGGAAUCGAACCUGUGUCCCCCACAGUGGAAGCACAGAGUCCUAACAACUGGACCGCCAGGGAAUUCCCAAAGAACACCUCCUUAAAGCCAAACCUUAUGACAGAUAUCUGUCUCUUGAGAGAUUAGGAGGCCCGAUACAGAUUAGAACUGGAGUAGAAGAAUUACCCAGUUAGAAGAAUGUCAAGGGAAAAGCAGAAUGAGACAGAAUGAACUAGAAGGGACUUCCCUGGUGGCACAGUGGUUAAGAAUCCGCCUGCUAAUGCAGGGGACACAGGUUUGAGCCCUGGUCCGGGAAGAUCCCACAUGCUGUGGAGCAGCUAAGCCCGUGCGCCACAACUACUGAGCCUGCACUCUAGAGCCCAUGAGCCACAACUACUGAGCCCACGCGCCACAACUACUGAAGCCCACGUGCCUAGAGCCCGUGCUCUGCAACAAGAGAAGCCACCACAAUGAGAAGGUCCCACACCACAACGAAGAGUAGCCCCCGCUCGCCGCAACUAGAGAAAGCCCGUGCACAGCAAUGAAGACCCAACACAGCCAAAAAUAAAUAAAAAUUAAAAAAAAAAAAAAAAAAAAGAA